GGCUGUUUGCACUUAAAAACAGUCUGGCCUGCCCACUGAAAAUCUUUAAAGGGCCGCGGUAUCCUGACCGUGCAAAGGUAGCAUAAUAAUUAGUCUUUUAAUUGGAGACUGGAAUGAAAGGUUGGACAAAGAACUAACUGUCUCAAUUUAAUAAGUAUAAAUUAACUUUUUAGUGAAAAGGCUAAAAUACUCUUAUAGGACGACAAGACCCUGUAAAACUUCAUAAACUUUUUCUUAUCUUUCCAAUUUUUCGUUAAAAGUUACUUAUUUUAUAAGUUUAUUUCGUUGGGGUGACGAGAGUAAAAUUAAAUAACUGCUCUUUUACUUAAACAAUUAUAAUUGUAAUUUCUUUGAUCCUUUUUUUUUAGAAAAAAGAAAAAGUUACUUCAGGGAUAACAGCGUUAUUCUUUUUAAGAGUUCUUAUCGACAAAAGAGUUUGCGACCUCGAUGUUGAAUUAAACUUUCCUUAUAGUGCAGCAGCUAUAAAGGUAGGUCUGUUCGACCUUUAAAAGUUUACAUGAUUUGAGUUCAAACCGGCGCA
rnacentral:rRNA from 1 species